rnacentral:rRNA from 1 species
UAAUACGUAGGGGGCGAGCGUUGCCCGGAAUCAUUGGGCGUAAAGGGCGCGCAGGCGGCCUGAUUAGUCGUGGGUGAAAUCGUUCGGCUCAACCGAGCGGGGUCCUGCGAAACGGUCGGGCUGGAGCAAGGCAGGGGGUCGUGGAAUUCCCGGUGUAGUGGUGGAAUGCGUAGAGAUCGGGAGGAACACCAGUGGCGAAGGCGGCGACCUGGGCCUGUGCUGACGCUGAGGCGCGAAAGCGUGGGGAGCGAUCCGGAUUAGAUACCCGGGUAGUCCACGCCGUAAACGAUGCGGACUAGGUGUCGGGGGUAUCGACCCCCUCGGUGCCGGCGCGAACGCAUUAAGUCCGCCGCCUGGGGACUACGGCCGCAAGGCUA